rnacentral:rRNA from 1 species
GAUGAACGCUGGCGGCGUGCCUAAUACAUGCAAGUCGAGCGAACGGACGAGAAGCUUGCUUUUCUGAUGUUAGCGGCGGACGGGUGAGUAACACGUGGAUAACCUACCUAUAAGACUGGGAUCACUUCGGGAAACCGGAGCUAAUACCGGAUAAUCUUUUGAACCGCAUGGUUCAAAAGUGAAAGACGGUCUUGCUGUCACUUAUAGAUGGAUCCGCGCUGCAUGAGCUAGUUGGUAAGGUAACGGCUUACCAAGGCAACGAUGCAUAGCCGACGUGAGAGGGGGAUCGGCCACACGAGAACGUAGACACGCACCAGGCUCCUAAGAGAGGGCGCAGUAGCGAAUGGGACGCAAUGGGCGAAAGCCUGACAGAACAACGGGGAGUGAGAGACGAAGGCGUUCGGAGCGUAAAAACCUGUUAUGGGUUAAGAACCUAUGUGGACUGAAAUGAAGAGAUCGUGACGGUAACGAAUAAGAAAGCAACGGCUAACUACGUG